UUAAGUGAGUUUUGCCCCAUUUUACGAUCUUUCUUGCCACAGUUGUUGAGUGAAUCACUGCGGCUGAUAAAUUAGUAACCUGGUUGUUAAGUGAAUCUGGCUUCCCCAUUGACUUUGCUUGUCGAAAAGUUGCAAGAGGUGAUCCUAUUAUCCUGGAACACAGCAGUGGUCAUAAGCAUGAAUUAGUUGUCAAGCAUGUGAAUUUUGAUCACAUGAUCAUGGGGAUGCUACAAAGGUUGUAACUGUGAAAAAUGGUCAUAAGUCACUUUUUCAAUGCCAUUGUAACUU